rnacentral:lncRNA from 1 species
GCCAUGUUUAUAAAUCAGUUUUUUUAUAUUUUGUACUGAAAGCAAUUGGAGCACUUUUAGGAAAGUUAUUUCAAAUUCCAUUUCUCUUUGCACCUGGAAGGAAAUCUCUCAUGGAAAGCAGAUCCUGUCAGCAUAACUGCAUCUCACUCGGAGCUGUGAACUCUUGAUGCUCUUUAGUCUUAGGUCCGGUUUCUAGGCCCACCUUGCACUGUAAAGAUUUAAUAACUAAUCAUGGUCCGUGGUUAAAUUGACCAUUUUGUUGGGGAAGUGUUUGGUUUGGUUUUUCGUUAGGGUAGUAAACAGUGUAAAUAAUUCCUUUCUGUGAUACUGCAGCAGCCACAUCUUUGUAGUCUUUAUUUUAUUUGUAAAGUCGAUGGUUCAAUGUUACCAUUCUGUUGGAAUUGUGCACUCAUGAUUAAUUGUAACUUGAUCUUAGCACACCAAAUGAUGAUUUUUACAAUGAUUGCAAUGUUUCUCCACUGAAGGAUUUCAGAGCUGCAAUAGGACUGAAACCAACUUCUAGCAAUAAAAAAGAACAUUUAAAACUGGCUGCCUCUCUCUAUAUAUAUUUAUCAUUAUUACAUUUGAACCAAAGAUCAGAGGCAGCAGCCACUUCUCACGUGCUUCUCAUUUUCUACCCUGGACAGAAAUAAGGUGCCAUAUGAACCAAACUCGUGAGGUUUUCCAGAGGAGAGGAGGGAGACAGGAGGUGUUAAGGUGGAUGGAUAUGAAUAGUUUUUUUGUGGCCCUUGCCAGCGAGGGGUAGGCUCCCUUGGAAAAAUCGCUGGUCCCAGAAUGUCUGAACUCAGCAGUAUGGUGAGUGAACCCAACACGCUGCUUAUAUUAGCAUGAGGUACUUUGCAUGGGUGGCCAGGCUGAGACAUGCCUGGCUCUGUCCCAGACGGAUAUCGGGUCCCAUUGGAAACAGGCAAACAAAAUGAGAACUUUCACCCUUCGUGCUCGUGCAAUUGGCAGCGUCGCUCCCAGCACCGUCCCAUCGCCUGCCGGCUGGCGCAGCGCUUCCCGCUCCACAUCAGCACGUUGUGUUUCCUGGUCAAAUCCCCACUUGUGGCACGCUGGCCCAAUCGCAGUAACCUCAUCCUAGAGGUAGAACAGAGGCAAAACUGCGGGGCGAGGGGAAGAGCUGCGACUUGGAGCAGUGCUCUCCGAGGAAGAGGUGUGAUUUUGAUCAGCGGAAUCCUGCUCCAUAGCGUUGAGGAAAACCCUGAGCUGGUUUUGGGUUUUGGCAUCAUUGACGGUGCCAAUGGUGCGCUGUGCCAGGCACUUGGCACAGCGAUACAUCUUUGUGUCUAUCAAAGCAUCUUUGGAGGCCCUGUGUUCUUUGUGUGCCGGAGGCAGUCGGAUGCAGGCUGCAUUUUCAGUCUCCAGAGUACGGUUGACAUCUGGGUUGCAGCAUAAACUGGAACUCGCUUGGAAAAACGCAAGUUUUUCCUGCUUUUCCCAGCAUAUGUAAAUAAUCACAAACUUCCAGGCACACCACCAUUUAAAAUAUGGCUUAAUGUUUAUGGGAAGUAACAGGCUGAUGUGCCAGUGAGUGAAGUUUUGAAGUGUUUGCGUAAGCUUUUGCUUGCACUUCCUUUAAGAGAACAUUUCUUACAUCUGGUUCUGCCCUGCUCCAUUCCCCAGCAGCAGAGCAGCCACUGGAGGUCCCUGUCUCUGCGCCUGGUCAGAUCUGCAAGGCGAGCAGCUUUGUGUCUGCUUCUAAAUGUUUGUCAGCAGGAAGAAAUGGAAUCCAAGUGAUUUCAUGGGGGACAGCUGAGAGGGACAGUCUAGGACAGCAGUUCUUCCAGAGCAGUGAGUUGGAUUUUCUGAUUGCACCGUAUUCUGCAGCCAUAAUCGUGUGUCAAUGCAGUAGGAAUUGCCUCUAGAAAGUCGGAAGAGCC